rnacentral:rRNA from 1 species
GAUGAACGCUGGCGGCGUGCCUAAUACAUGCAAGUCGAGCGAACGGACGAGAAGCUUGCUUUUCUGAUGUUAGCGGCGGACGGGUGAGUAACACGUGGAUAACCUACCUAUAAGACUGGGAUAACUUCGGGAAACCGGAGCUAAUACCGGAUAAUAUUUUGAACCGCAUGGUUCAAAAGUGAAAGACGGUCUUGCUGUCACUUAUAGAUGGAUCCGCGCUGCAUUAGCUAGUUGGUAAGGUAACGGCUUACCAAGGCAACGAUGCAUAGCCGACCUGAGAGGGUGAUCGGCCACACUGGAACUGAGACACGGUCCAGACUCCUACGGGAGGCAGCAGUAGGGAAUCUUCCGCAAUGGGCGAAAGCCUGACGGAGCAACGCCGCGUGAGUGAUGAAGGUCUUCGGGUCGUAAAACUCUGUUAUUAGGGAAGAACAUAUGUGUAAGUAACUGUGCACAUCUUGACGGUACCUAAUCAGAAAGCCACGGCUAACUACGUG